GGAUUAAUUUACUGGUCGUGCUAUUGUACGUACUGGUUUUAUUGAUUCCUCCCUUCUGACGAACUAUGAUGUCAUUAAUUUGGUGUCAUAGGAAAUCAGGACUGUUACUUUGAAAAAAUUAGAGUGUUCAAAGCAGGCCUUUGCUCGAAUAUGUUAGCAUGGAAUAAUAAAACAGGACGU
rnacentral:rRNA from 1 species